AUUGAGCUAAGAACAGCCCAGUAACUAAGGUUUAACACAAACCACUACUGCUACCACCAAUAAUAAUAAUGAUAAGGGAAAUAACAAGGGAAGAGAAUAUAUCUGCUCACUGCCCACCAACUGAUACCCAGCCUGAGCUGAGCAGUGACCUAACCCUUCUGGGUAAUUGCGCCCAGUUUAUAUACUGGGCAUGAUGUGCUGUGGUAUGGAAUACCUCUUUGGCUAGCCUGGGUCAGGUGUCCUGUCUCUGCUUACUCCUGGCUUCCCCUCCUUCCUGACAGAGCAUGAGACUCGGAAAAGUCCUUGGUCAGACCAAACCUUCUUGAGCAACAACUAAAAACAUCGGUGUUAUCAGCGCUGUUCCCAGACUGAAAGUCAAAACCACAGCACUGCACCAGCUUUUAAGAAGGAGAAAAAUGACUGCUACUGCUGAACCCAGGACACAAGGCAACCCAGAUGGACAGCUUGCCACUCGAGAUGUCUGGAAAGAUGCAGCAAGGAAGACUUUCUCCCCCAGACAUAGUUCUUUUCCUCUGCUCCAUCCACUGAAAUCCAGAGAGUUGUAGAAAAAAAGGGUUAGUCAAGAGGGAGCUGACUACUUAAGGAUGAACUACCACUCAAGAGGACCAGUAAGAUAUUCUUCUCCCUCUAAACCACUGAAACCAGCCAAAGAGUGUUUCCCCACUGCUGUUUGAAGAUGUUUGUGUUUCAGAAUGUGAGUAAUGCUAUGCAAAAAGGCACUUAAAGUGUCAA
rnacentral:lncRNA from 14 species